rnacentral:rRNA from 1 species
GAUGAACGCUGGCGGCGUGCCUAAUACAUGCAAGUCGAGCGAACAGACGAGGAGCUUGCUCCUCUGACGUUAGCGGCGGACGGGUGAGUAACACGUGGAUAACCUACCUAUAAGACUGGGAUAACUUCGGGAAACCGGAGCUAAUACCGGAUAAUAUAUUGAACCGCAUGGUUCAAUAGUGAAAGACGGUUUUGCUGUCACUUAUAGAUGGAUCCGCGCCGCAUUAGCUAGUUGGUAAGGUAACGGCUUACCAAGGCAACGAUGCGUAGCCGACCUGAGAGGGUGAUCGGCCACACUGGAACUGAGACACGGUCCAGACUCCUACGGGAGGCAGCAGUAGGGAAUCUUCCGCAAUGGGCGAAAGCCUGACGGAGCAACGCCGCGUGAGUGAUGAAGGUCUUCGGAUCGUAAAACUCUGUUAUUAGGGAAGAACAAAUGUGUAAGUAACUAUGCACGUCUUGACGGUACCUAAUCAGAAGGCCACGACUAACUACGUG